UAAAUCUGUUAGCUGAGAAUGAUGACAAAGCUACUGCAUUAGUUAUGGUCAUAACCCAGCUGGGUAUGAGGUUUCUUUUGCUGCAGUGUGUGUGCUCUUGGGGAAUUCAAGGAAGGAUUUGACUCAGAAAUUUGGCUUGACAAUAUAAUUUAUCUAUUCUGAAUGAAUCCUCUCUACUUCUUGAAAGGGAUAACUGCAUAACACCACACCGUUGAACACUUAUAUGAAACAAGUUCCAGAGAAGCCAAAUUAUUAAGACCAGAAAUACUUUACUAUUAAUGGUUUAAAUACUGUUAACAAUCAAGCAUACAGAUGGCCAAUACUGAAGAAGAAGGGAGCAAGUACAAACGGAAUAUGCUGGAUCAAGUCUUCUGAAUUAACCUAUUCACUCCUACACACCCCAUGGUUUCUCACACUGUGUGGGGAAGUCCUGUCUCAGGCGCUAGUGCACAUUUACACUUCAGUUACCAGAACUUCAGAAUAGAGGAGGACACAACAGAAAACUUGUGAUGUCACUUUCACCCCACCUCUGGAACACCUGCCUCUUUUAGUCAAUCCACUACUAAACAGCCGUGCCACUACAAGUCUCAAUUCACUCUGGAACCUGCUACUAAAGAGGAGAGACCUACCUGAAUGGCUACAUGAGAAAUUACCUGACUAUUCUGCGUUCUUGCCAAAUCAUUAUUUGAAUUGCAAUUUAUCAUAAAAUUAAACAGGGAGCUCUUUUGGGAAGCCAAAACUU